rnacentral:lncRNA from 1 species
CCUUUGGAAAUAUUCUGCUUAUGUUCGUGGAUUCUGUCUCUAAGGUUUCGGUAGGUGGCCCCAAUGUCUAUACUCCUCUAUACCUCUAAAACCUCUAUACUCUGAAAUAAUAAAGCGAUCAAUACCAAAGAAAGAAGAAACAGCAGUUCUUAUAUACUCAUCCAAGGGCAUGGAGAUAUUGGAACCAUGGAAACUCCUAGAUAAAGUUAAGAAAGAGGUAGAUUUGCAAGAUAUAAAAAUGGGCGUGAAGAAUGCAAGAACCAUAAGAUCUGAUGUGGUCAUCACCUGUUGCACCAGUUCUAGUGUGGCAAAGUUGAAGGCUAAACUUCAAGAGAAGAAAGACUAUGAUGUCAAGGAUUCAACACAAAGAUGUCCAAGGAUCAGGAUUACCAAAGCCCUUUGGACAUUACUGCCAAGGCUUUUACAAGUUACAUGAGGAUCUUCAAAGACCACAUUGAGGGUGAAUUAUUUUCCCCAAACAAUUUUCAACCAAUAUUCCAGGUGGGAAAACAGGCAGACCUGUUUUCCCACCUGGCUCCUUGGUGGUGGAGGUGGAUCCGAGGACUAGAAAGGCAAUCAGCGAAAAAACGAUUAUUUAAGCAUCAGUUGGUCAUUGCACAGGAUAAGGAAUUUUUACAGCUUCUGUUGCUGCAGUAAGUAUUGGGCCUAUGGGAUUUGGCCAAACAGUUUAAAGCCGAUGUGGUCUGCCCGAACUGUGCUGAAACUGGCCAUGAGUUGACCAGUGCACUAGCUCAAAGAGAACAAAGCACCAACUGUCUAAACUAUAAACCCGAUGUCAACAAAAAUCAUCUCGAGUUGAUCCCAGUCAACGGUGCUCAUGGUUGGUGUUGCCCCUUUUUAGAUACCAGUGUCAACUUGCUGACAUCUACACACAAUACUAAUGCAAAACAUAAAUAUAAUACAAGUUAACUUAGAUAGGUCAUCUUCAGCAAUCGAUCACUUAGUGAAAUAUAUACAUGAACACAAUAUACCCAUAGUAUUAAUACAGGAACCAUAUGC